GGUAAAUCACAACGUAGGAUGUUAGAUCUUGAACUUAAACUUAAUGAUUUAGAAGACCGUAGCAGAUGUAAAAAUCUUCAUUUAGAAAUUUUGCGGAGGGGGGAAGACAAGAAGACAUAAAACAAAUCUUGAAAGACUAUUUCGUGGACUUUGGAAUUCCAUUAAAUGACCAUGAACAAUUAAUAGAACGUUGCCACCGACUAUAUAAACCUCAAACAAUCCCG